ACUUCCCAUGUGGUUAGAGUGUCUGGACAGCAAACUCCAGGGAUCCACCAUCUCCCCAGAGAUGGGGUUACAGACCAGUCUGUCUUCUACUUAAAUUCAGGGAUUUGAACUCAGCUUCUUAAGCUUGCAGGUGUGACUCUGGCUUUGGUCAUGGUGACUCCAUGCUCAUGUAUGACAUGCCAUUUGCCUUACCAAUGGCCCAUCCAGACUGUGAUGUCAAACAGGCCAGAAGAAUCAGAAACCGAGACCUGAACAUCACAGGCCAGCCUUCCCUG
rnacentral:lncRNA from 1 species